GCACUAUGGCUCCCCCUUCUGGUUCUGCAAUGAGUAGUUACAUUGUUCCUCAGAGUGCUGAAUUUUGAGAGCAAAGCAUUACAGAAAUGUAAAAAAAUCUUGAAGGCCAGGUGCGGUGUCUCAUGCCUGUAAUCCCAGCACUUUGGGAGGCUGAGUGCUUCCUGCCAAUCCCGGCAUGCUCAACAUAACCAGAUGGUUGCCACUCCACUCAGCCACCCCCAUUUCACCUAGCAGUGACAUGUCCCUGAGGAGCAUUCCAGUUGAUAACUCAGAGAUGGAGUCUCGCUGUGUCACCAGGCUGGAGUACAGUAGUGUGAUCUCGGCUCAUUGCAACCUCCAUCUCCCAGGUUCAAGCAAUCCUCCUGCCUCAGCCUCCUGAGUAGCUGGGACUACAGAAAACAAGCUCAUAUUACCAAGUGUGAAAUUACAGCAAGUCUUACAGGCUGGGAACUGGAAAAGAGCUUCCCCAUCAUGGUGGAUUAUACAACCAGUGGUGGAGAGUAACUCCAAAAUAUAGCAUCUUUCUACUCAUCUUACUAAAGCUCAAAGAAGGUGAUCUACAAGAUAAUGAAAACAAGGCUCAAAAUAAAAACAAGAAA
ensembl:lncRNA LINC02093 long intergenic non-protein coding RNA 2093